rnacentral:rRNA from 1 species
ACGCCGCGUGAGUGAUGAAGGUUUUCGGAUCGUAAAGCUCUGUUGUUAGGGAAGAACAAGUACCGUUCGAAUAGGGCGGUACCUUGACGGUACCUAACCAGAAAGCCACGGCUAACUACGUGCCAGCAGCCGCGGUAAUACGUAGGUGGCAAGCGUUGUCCGGAAUUAUUGGGCGUAAAGGGCUCGCAGGCGGUUUCUUAAGUCUGAUGUGAAAGCCCCCGGCUCAACCGGGGAGGGUCAUUGGAAACUGGGGAACUUGAGUGCAGAAGAGGAGAGUGGAAUUCCACGUGUAGCGGUGAAAUGCGUAGAGAUGUGGAGGAACACCAGUGGCGAAGGCGACUCUCUGGUCUGUAACUGACGCUGAGGAGCGAAAGCGUGGGGAGCGAACAGGAUUAGAUACCCUGGUAGUCCACGCCGUAAACGAUGAGUGCUAAGUGUUAGGGGGUUUCCGCCCCUUAGUGCUGCAGCUAACGCAUUAAGCACUCC